GUGAGGAAUAUUGCGCAAUGGAGGCAACUCUGACGCAGCCAUGCCGCGUGCAGGAAGAAGGCGCUACGCGUUGUAAACUGCUUUUAACCGGGAAGAAACCCCAGGACGUGUCCUGGGUUGACGGUACCGGAGGAAUAAGCACCGGCUAACUUCGUGCCAGCAGCCGCGGUAAUACGAAGGGUGCAAGCGUUAUCCGGAUUCAUUGGGUUUAAAGGGUGCGUAGGCGGAGCGUUAAGUCAGUGGUGAAAUCCUGCAGCUUAACUGUAGACUUGCCAUUGAUACUGGCGCUCUUGAGUGUGCUUGAAGUGGGCGGAAUGUGCCGUGUAGCGGUGAAAUGCUUAGAUAUGGCACAGAACACCAAUUGCGAAGGCAGCUCACUAAGGCGAUACUGACGCUGAGGCACGAAAGCGUGGGGAUCGAACAGGAUUAGAAACCCUUGUAGUCC
rnacentral:rRNA from 1 species